GGGUGGGGCCGGCGUCGGGCGGGGCCGGCGGGGUCUUCAGGGUACCGGGCUGGUUACAGCAGCUCUACCCCUCACGACGCAGACAUGGCAGCGCAGAAGGACCAGCAGAAAGAUGCCGAGGCGGAAGGGCUGAGCGGCACGAGCCACCCUGGUGGUCAUCGGCUCCCACGCUGCCUUCCACCAGAUUGAGGCUGUGGACGGGGAGGAGCUGCAGAUGGAACCCGUGUGAGGUGUCUUCUGGGACCUGCCGGCCUCCCGGGCCAGCUGCCCCACCCCUGCCCAUGCCUGUCCUGCACGGCUCUGCUGCUCGGGCCCACAGCGCCGUCCCAUCACAAGCCCGGGGAGGGAUCCCGCCUUUGAAAAUAAAGCUGUUAUGGGUGUCAUUCAGGAAAU
rnacentral:lncRNA from 1 species